rnacentral:rRNA from 1 species
GACGGAGGAUGCAAGCGUUAUCCGGAAUGAUUGGGCGUAAAGGGUGCGUAGGCGGUUGUUUAAGUCUGUCGUGAAAUCCCCGGGCUCAACCUGGGAAUGGCGAUGGAUACUGGGCAGCUAGAGUGUGUCAGAGGAUGGUGGAAUUCCCGGUGUAGCGGUGAAAUGCGUAGAGAUCGGGAGGAACAUCAGUGGCGAAGGCGGCCAUCUGGGACAACACUGACGCUGAAGCACGAAAGCGUGGGGAGCAAACAGG